CCAGCCCCGCUCGGGCCUGCCGGGAAGCCGGAAGUCUACAGGAAGCCGCCAGCCAUAGGAGACCGCCACGUCGAGAAGGGCGGAGACGACGAAUACCUGACUUCUCCUUCCUUCUUCAAUUAGAGGCUUUACGAGGAAGGGCGACUCUAUAGUGCUUGCGCCAACUCAGAAAUAAGGCUGAACCGCUUCGGCAUAAUAAAGACGGGGCAAAGUUAAGAGACCCUAGAAACGAAGCCACACCAAAGAUGGCUGACAGCCUCCUCGGGCGAUUUCUCGCGAGAAAUAAAAUUCGGGUGUCGGGGGCCUGAGGUUGGAUUCAGGUCUAAGCAGUUUGCCUGCGGCAAGAAACUUCAAAUGAUCGGCCUCAGAAGACUAAACGUACCGGUGUAAAAGUUGAGACUUGGUCCCAUGCAGCGAGAGGUCAUUGAAAAAAGGCGCCUGCCAACUUUGGACACUGAGGCUGGAGCAGGCAGCGUGAAGCCAGCUGUGGUUUGGGGCUCGCCCCUGCAGCAUCCACUCUGGCUGAGAUUUAAUGACGCUUCUCUUGUCAGCUUUUGGAAGUUACAAAUUGCAAUAUGUGAUGGGCUGAUUUCUCCCACAAUUUGUGUUGUGAUUUCUUGUUCUAAAUAAAUAUUCUCUCUCCUA